AACGCCAUGGCUGCAGUCACUGUAGAAGACCUCAUCAAACCUCGGCUGCGGAGCCUGGCACCCAGGAAACUCGUGAUUAUCUCCAAGGGGCUCUGUGAGUUUCAGGGAGACCCGGGUGGGAGGCCAGGGCAGUCCCUCCCCAUUGACCGUGCCAACCCCGUCCACUACAGCACUCAUCUACGGAUCGGCCUGUCUCACCGUGGCAGCUCUGUCCUCACUACUCGGAGGAGGUGUCCUCCAGGGCUCCUUCACCGUCAUGGGAGUCAUCAGCGGCCCCCUCCUGGGAGCCUUCAUCUUAGGAAUGUUCCUGCCGGCCUGCAACACCCCGGGCGUCCUCUCGGGACUGGGCGCGGGCUUGGCGCUGUCGCUGUGGGUGGCCUUGGGCGCCACGCUGUACCCACCCAGCGAGCAGACCAUGAGGGUCCUGCCGUCGUCGGCUGCCCGCUGCGUGGCUCUCUCAGUCAACGCCUCUGGCCUCCUGGACCCGGCUCUCCUCCCUGCUAACGACUCUAGCAGGGCCCCCAGCUCAGGAAUGGACGCCAGCCGACCCGCCUUAGCUGACAGUUUCUACGC
rnacentral:sRNA from 1 species